rfam:Xenopus laevis strain J chromosome 8L, whole genome shotgun sequence.
CCCAAAAGCGUUGAGUUCAGUAUGAGUUGUCGAUCUCAUACUGGUAAUAAGCUUUGGGACAUUAAUGAGCUUACAGGAAAUGAAGAGUAACAGGACUCUCUAUCCUGUUGCCAACAUUU